AGUGAUGUAGUUCAGUGGUAGAACACUUGCCUAGCAUUCUAUAUACCUGGUUUCAUUUCCCAGCACCAUAA
rnacentral:tRNA from 1 species